GAUGAACGCUGGCGGCGUGCCUAAUACAUGCAAGUCGAGCGAACGGACGAGAAGCUUGCUUCUCUGAUGUUAGCGGCGGACGGGUGAGUAACACGUGGAUAACCUACCUAUAAGACUGGGAUAACUUCGGGAAACCGGAGCUAAUACCGGAUAAUAUUUUGAACCGCAUGGUUCAAAAGUGAAAGACGGUCUUGCUGUCACUUAUAGAUGGAUCCGCGCUGCAUUAGCUAGUUGGUAAGGUAACGGCUUACCAAGGCAACGAUGCAUAGCCGACCUGAGAGGGUGAUCGGCCACACUGGAACUGAGACACGGUCCAGACUACUACGGGAGGCAGCAGUAGGGAAUCUUCCGCAAUGGGCGGAAGCCUGACGGAGCAACGCCGCGUGAGUGAUGAAGGUCUUCGGAUCGUAAAACUCUGUUAUUAGGGAAGAACAUAUGUGUAAGUAACUGUGCACAUCUUGACGGUACCUAAUCAGAAAGCCACGGCUAACUACGUG
rnacentral:rRNA from 1 species